rnacentral:misc_RNA from 1 species
GCGCAGAACCGUCCGCCGCUCGCUAUCGUUGUGAACCGGCAUCCGCGCCUGCGUCAGUCCGGAAUGCAGGUAAACCGCGUGUGGCAUCACGGUGGCGCCGAUGAUGCCGACCGAGAGCAGCAGNNNNNNNAUCUGAGGCAGCACGGUAUGCAUCGCGGCUGAAGCCCAAUCGACCGGAGCCAUGAACAACUCGACCACGUAGCAAAGGGCUAUAAUGCUCACCAUGCCGCCGAUG